CGAAUCGGGCAAUCGCGUGCUACGCAUGAGGAAAGUCCGGGCUCCCAAAGGCAAGAUGCCAGCUAACGGCUGGGCAGGGUGACCUGACGGAAAGUGCCACAGAAAAGAAAACUCUCUUGCACAAACAGCAUAAGGCUGCCACUACAAGAGAAAAGCUGAAACGGUGCGGUAAGAGCGCACCAGUGCAUUGGUAACAAUGUAGCUUGGUAAACCCCAUCUGGAGCAAACGCAAAUAGGAAUGCUAUACGGUUGCCUUUCCGUGCAUUCGGGUUGCGCGCUAGAGCUGCUUGGUGACAAGCAGUCGAGAUAAAUGGUUGCCAAUAACAGAACCCGGCUUAUAGAUUCGCUCUU
rnacentral:RNase_P_RNA from 1 species